rnacentral:lncRNA from 1 species
CUUGAUUAUAAAUUUCAACCAAGUAUAUCAUUUUCAUUUUAUAAGCAGUAAUAUAAAAAAUUAAAAUUACACUGUAUUAUAUUUCUAUGACGUAUACGUCUGUUUUUCGUGAGUAUAAUUAUUGUUGUAGAUUUAUAGCUGCUGUAAAUAUGUCGUCAGAAGUAAAAGUGUGAUAUUAUUACACUAUGCAUAGAGUAUUUGGAUGGAAAUGGGAGGAUAACAUCCUUACAGAAUGCAUACACAUGGAAAUCAGUACCAGAAGUAGAAUUUGGUGAUUGUUUUGACUCCAGCAAAGUAUAUUCUUGUACGUCAUACGUGAUCAGGAAGCAACCAACAUUCAAAUAUUGAUUCUUACAUAGAAAAAGAUAAUAACAAGAACAUGGGGAUUCGUGGCGGGGCACACUGCAGUUUGAAGAUUGGGUGCACACAAUAAUUUGAAGACAUACCUCAAUGGCAUCUUGAACAGGAACCCAAUUGGGAUUAUAGUCCACUUGAGAACAAAAAUUCAAACAGAAGUAAAAGUGUGAUAUUAUUACACAUACAUAGAGUAUUUAGAUGGAAAUGGGAGGAUAACAUCCUUACAGAAUGCAUACACAUGGAAAUCAGUACCAGAAGUAGAAUUUGGUGAUCAUUUUGACUCCAGCAAAAUAUAUUCUUGUACGUCAUACGUGAUCAGGAAGCAACCAACAUUCAAAUAUUGAGUUUUACAUUCACUACUUAUUUGUUUCACAUCUACAUCAGAAUGGCACUGAACAAAGUCAACCACAAAAUCACUGCCUACUAGCCGUGGCAGUUUUGACAAUUCCAUCACUACAAGCGAGCAAGCAGUGAUAGUGUUUGCUUGUGGACACAGCUAUAAUUUUUCAUCUUUUCGUUUCCUGCCAGUCAGCCCAUGCAUCUAGUUUGUUCAACAUGAUUUCAAUUUUGGGAAACAUUAAAUCCAAAGCAUUUAUUUAUUAUAUUAUGUACCAGGACUUCUAUUUAUAUGUUUCUACUUAUCAUAUAUAGAUAGAUUCCGGUAUAUAAUAAAUUAAUUACAUCUUGAUGCUAAAUUACUUUUAAAAGGUAAGAUGAUUGGUACAAUAUACAAUUAUCUAUUCCUACAAACCGUUAUUACAUUUAUGGAUAUUUGCUUAACCAUUGUAUCUAUUAAAUUUCUGUAUGUAUUACCUAUAAUUGAUACUGUACUGUUUGCUUUGAGGUAUUAUCUUCAAAUAAAUAAAUAAAUUUGUCUAACAUAAAUUAAAAUCUACCCCACAUACUUCAUUACUUAUAUUACCUAUUAAUUUUGUCACUUUAUUCUUAUUUGAGUAAUAUACCUCAUUGUUUAUACAACAGUAUGGAGAUAUCCAUAGGCUACUCAUUUUAAAAUACAUAUAUAGAAUAUACACAAACUAAAUUAACAAAUAAAACCACAAAACUAAUCAUUAAGUACUAUUUUACUAAAAUUUGACAAAUCUGCUAUAAAGAGUAAAUUCAAUUUCAGCAAAAAUAAAAAUAAAAAUAUACUCGCCAAUAAUAAUCUAGUUAUAACUUGUCUAUUUCUAAAUACUAUUGUUGUAAUAAUUCGAUGUAUUUAAAUAACAUAAUAUGACAUAUUAUUUAUUUUAUUAUCAGUAAGUCAAUACAAUUGCUUGUAUAAAUAGGUACCACUACAACAAAAACAAAUAUUUAAUAAAUAAUAUUAAUAUUACAUACGUCCUUAAUUCUUAUUACAAUUGUUUAGGUCAUUUGUUAUUUCUAUAAGUAUUUAACAGUAUUUUUUAUUCACUUGUAAUUAUUGUUGUAAGUGUUCAAUUAAUAAUUGAUAAUUUUGAACUGUAUCUCAUUUUAUAGUUAAUUAUAA